AAAAAGGGCUUUGAAUCAUGAACUUUGAUUCCACGAGGCUAUAAGCAUCGUGCAGCAUCGCCAUCAAGAGAUGCUGGAAGCGUAAUGUUUGGAUCAGGCAGAUGAGAUUCGCUUAAUUUCGUCGCCUCU
rnacentral:snRNA from 1 species